GGACGUAUAGGAAAGUGGUCAAAUCCGCUGUGUUCAGGUCGCAGUCCCUUGUGGUUCGCAGGUUCGAAUCCUGCUGCGUCCA